AUUCUAGUAGCUUAACCACAAAGCACUGGUCUUGUAAACCAGAGAUUGAAGACUUACAAUCUUCCUAGAGUA
rnacentral:tRNA from 1 species